AUUUGGUGGAUAUCUUGGCUUGGGCACCGAUGAAGAGCGUGACAAGCUGCGAUAAGCUUGGGUUAGUCGCACGUAGACUUAGACCCCAAGAUUCUCGAAUCGGACAUCCGCUUGCGGCCCAAUAAUCCGCAAGAUUCCCAUAACCGUAAGGUGAGGGAAGGGGAACUCUGAGAAGUAAAACAUUUUAGUAUCAGAAGGAAAAGAAAACAAUAGUGAUUCCGUGAGUAACGGCGAGCGAAAGCGGAACAGGUCAAACCGAAUCCGUUGGAGAAGAUCCCUCGGAGAUGUGGUGUAUGGACCUCAUACGGCCUCCCUAGAGAACAUGAAAACCUCUUGAAAGUGGUGCCAUAGAGCGUGAUAGCCGCGUAAUGGUAAUCUAGAAGGCUGAUUUGAGGUAUCCUGAGUAGUGCGGGAUGGUUUUCUCGUACAAAUGUGCCAAACACAUGUUGGCAAACCUAAAUAUGUCCCAAGACCGAUAGCGUAAUAGUAGCGUGAGCGAAAGAUGAAAAGUAACCCGGAAGGGUCGUGAAAAGUGCUUGAAACCAAAUAGCUUAAUAGGGAUGCAGCCUGAAAGGAGAGAUUCUGAGCGAAUGUGUUCCGGUAACGGAAUAUCAGAGCACAGAGGACUAGGGUUGCAUCAUCAGUCUGGAAUCAUUGGCCAGGGAGUUUAUAGUAGAGGCGAGCUUAAGCGUCUUACGGCGCGAAGGCAUAGGGAAACCAAUAUUCUUGCAACCUAAUUAUCACAUUAGGAAGAUCUAUUCGUCCUAGAUUGGUUUUGCCAUUCAAAUACGUCUAGUGAAUCCUUCUAAGGGAUUAGGCCAGAAGAAUGGUCUCAAAGGGCCUAAAGUCUCUGUUAUAAAACCCGAAGCCGGUCGAUCUAUUCCUGGCCAAGAUGAAGCCGUUCGAAAGGACGGUGGAGGUCUGCAGUAGUGCUGACGUGCAAUUCGCUUACAUGAGCUGGGAAUAGGAGCAAAAGGCUAAUCUAGAUCGGUGAUAGCUGGUUCUCCCCGAAGUUGGUAUCAGCCAAGUCUCAGACGAGGCAGCCAGUGGUGUAGAGCACUAAUUGUGGAGCAUGGGGAAGAAAUUCCUCACUUUACUCUUAAACUCCGAAACUGCUGGCACUUUAGACUCUGGGAAACGGGUUGGUGGGCGUAAAGUCCAUCGCCGAGAAGGGAACAACCUAGACUUGGGUUAAGGUCCCAAAGUGCAGGUUAAGUGUUAAAAUAAAGGGCGUUAUAUUUCUAAGACAGUAAAAGGAUAGGUAUAGAAGUAGCCAUUCCCUAACGAGUGUGUAAUAACUCAUUUGCCGAGAAAUAUAGCCCCGAAAAUGGACGGGGCUUAAAUCUGCCACCGAGACCCAAGGGCACGGGUAGAAGAAUCCCGUGAUCCGGUAGGGGAGCGUCCGAGUUGCAUAGAAGCAGGUGCGCGAGUUCCUGUGGAGCGGCUCGGAGUGAAGAUCCUGGUGAUAGUAAAAGCAAAGAUGGGUUAGAAUCCCAUCCGCCGAAAGGGCAAGGGUUUCUUCGCAAUGCGUCGUCAGCGAAGAGUUAGUCGGUCCUAAGCGCAGCCUUAACUGGUAUUGCGCGAAAGGGAAACAGGUUUAUAUUCCUGUACCUCGGUGCUACACUAGCGGUAACGCACGGCGUUGUGCUGACGGUUCCGGGUAAGUGGAAUAGGGUCGUCGAAUAUCUCCCUAUUUAAAUGUAUAAAGCUGGUAAAUAGAGUAAAUCUUAGACCCAGCCAAAAUCAUGAAUAGCCCCCCAAUUGUGGGAGGUUCCGCUGAUCCCAGGACCCAAUGAAAAGGCAAACGCAAGGAACACCGAGUCCGUACCCAGAACUGACACAAGAGCUCUAUAACUGAGAGCGCUGUCAAAAGGUGCCCCUAGGUGAGUAGCCUAAGGCGUAUUCGUGUAAAGGAGGCUAGGGAAAUCGACAAAUUAGAGCCGUAACCUAGGGAUAAGGCUUGCUUGAGAACUUCGUUGCGCCUCACAGUGCUUCGGGGUUUCCAAGUCGCAGUGACUAGGGGGGGGCGACUGUUUAAUAAAAACAUAGGUCUCUGAUAGAGCGAAAGCUUGUUUACAGAGGCUGACACCUGGCCAGUGGCAGUCUGAUAAAUCCGGGUUACAACCCGAGUAAGUCCUGCUAAACGCCGGGAGUAACUAUAACUCUCUUAAGGUAGCCAAAUGCCUUGUCUGGUAAGUUCAGACGUGCAUGAACGGUCCAACGUCCUCCCUAUUGUCCCAGCCUUCUGACGAUUGAAAUCACACUCCGGCGAACGGUCCGGAGAAGCCCAACGGGACGAGAAGACCCCGUGGACGGAAUGAGAAAUCUUCAUUCCGGCGGAAAGUUUUACUGCAGCCUGUUGUUGCGGUUUUGAACUGGAUACAGAGUGUAGUCGGGAGCGUAGAUGCUAUCAUUUCGGUGGUAGUGGAGCGACUUUGGAAUACCGGCUUUCUUUUUUGAAAUCGCUAACGGCGUGAAAAGCGUCGGACACCCGCAGGUGGGCAGUUUGGCUGGGGCGGCUCACUCCAGAAAAAAUAUCUGGAGUAACCAAUGGUCAGCUCAAGCGGGUCAGGAAUCCGCUGAAGAGUUUAAGAGCAAAAGCUGGCCUGACUGGAUUCUGAUCACCAAGGAAUCCUGAGGCGAAAGCCUGGUCUAGCGAUCCUCUAUUGUGCUCAUGUGGCUUGUAGAGGUGAUAGAAAAAUUACCCCGGGGGUAACAGAGUUGUCACGAGUAAGAGCUCAUAUCGACCUCGUGGCUUGCUUCCUCGAUGUCGGCUCUUCCUAUCCUGGGAGCGCACAUAGCGUUUGCGUCAAAUAGACCGAUGUUUAUGCGUGCAUAACUCCCAAGGGUGGGGCUGUACGCCCAUUAAAAGGGAACGUGAGCUGGGUUUAGACCGUCGUGAGUUCCAGUUCUCGGAAAUGAUAUGGUUAUAAUUCAAUUUAUUGGAAUAAACAGAACUUAAGAAUCCUCCUAAUGGAUUGAAUUAUGAUCAUGAGUAAAUUUUCGGGAGUACCGAUUUUUCGGGCUGGACACGAGACAGGUCGGAUUCUAUCUGUUGGGCUUGUUGGAAGACUGAGGGUAAGGGAAAAUCAGUACGAGAGGAACAUUUUGCCGGCGCCUCUGGUGUACCGGUUGUCUGACAAGGCAUUGCCGGGCAGCUACGCGCUAACGGAUAAGUGCUGAAAGCAUCUAAGCACGAAGCCGGACCCGAAAAUAGUCUUCCACUCCUUUCUCAA
rnacentral:rRNA from 1 species